rnacentral:pre_miRNA from 1 species
AUUCUCCUCCCUCCGUUGCACAAUACAUGCCUUCUAUUUGUCAAAAUAUAUGUGUAUCUAGACAUAUUUUAGUAUAUAGGUACAUCCAUUUUUGGACAAAUGGAAGUCAAGUAUUUUGGAACGAAGGGAGUACACA